GAACGCUGGCGGCAGGCCUAACACAUGCAAGUCGAGCGGUAGCACAGGAGAGCUUGCUCUCUGGGUGACGAGCGGCGGACGGGUGAGUAAUGUCUGGGAAACUGCCUGAUGGAGGGGGAUAACUACUGGAAACGGUAGCUAAUACCGCAUAACGUCGCAAGACCAAAGUGGGGGACCUUCGGGCCUCAUGCCAUCAGAUGUGCCCAGAUGGGAUUAGCUAGUAGGUGGGGUAAUGGCUCACCUAGGCGACGAUCCCUAGCUGGUCUGAGAGGAUGACCAGCCACACUGGAACUGAGACACGGUCCAGACUCCUACGGGAGGCAGCAGUGGGGAAUAUUGCACAAUGGGCGCAAGCCUGAUGCAGCCAUGCCGCGUGUAUGAAGAAGGCCUUCGGGUUGUAAAGUACUUUCAGCGAGGAGGAAGGCAUUAAGGUUAAUAACCUUAGUGAUUGACGUUACUCGCAGAAGAAGCACCGGCUAACUCCGUGCCAGCAGCCGCGGUAAUACGGAGGGUGCAAGCGUUAAUCGGAAUUACUGGGCGUAAAGCGCACGCAGGCGGUUUGUUAAGUCAGAUGUGAAAUCCCCGGGCUCAACCUGGGAACUGCAUUUGAAACUGGCAAGCUUGAGUCUUGUAGAGGGGGGUAGAAUUCCAGGUGUAGCGGUGAAAUGCGUAGAGAUCUGGAGGAAUACCGGUGGCGAAGGCGGCCCCCUGGACAAAGACUGACGCUCA
rnacentral:rRNA from 1 species